AUGAACGCUAGCGGCAGGCCUAACACAUGCAAGUCGAGGGAGGAGCUUUCGGGCUUCGACCGGCGUACGGGUGCGUAACGCGUAUACAAUCUGCCUUUCACAUAGGGAUAGCCCGAAGAAAUUUGGAUUAAUACCUAAUGGUAUAUAGGAGUGGCAUCACAUUUAUAUUAAAGCUGAGGCGGUGAAAGAUGAGUAUGCGUUCUAUUAGCUAGUUGGAGAGGUAACGGCUCCCCAAGGCGACGAUAGAUAGGGGUUCUGAGAGGGAUAUCCCCCACACUGGUACUGAGAUACGGACCAGACUCCUACGGGAGGCAGCAGUGAGGAAUAUUAGACAAUGGUCGGAAGACUGAUCCAGCCAUGCCGCGUGCAGGAAGACGGCCUUAUGGGUUGUAAACUGCUUUUGCAGGGGAAGAAUAAGGACUACGAGUAGUUUGAUGACGGUACUCUGCGAAUAAGCAUCGGCUAACUCCGUG
rnacentral:rRNA from 1 species